GGUGGAAAGAUUUAUCGGUGCAGGAUGGGCCCGCGUCGGAUUAACUAGUUGGCAGGGUAACGGCCUACCAAGGUUAUGAUCCGUAGCCGACCUGAGAGGGUGACCGGCCACAUUGGGACUGAGACACGGCCCAAACUCCUACGGGAGGCAGCAGUGGGGGAUAUUGCACAAUGGGCGGAAGCCUGAUGCAGCGACGCCGCGUGAAGGAAGAAGUAUUUCGGUAUGUAAACUUCUAUCAGCGGGGAAGAAGAUGAC
rnacentral:rRNA from 1 species